AACACUUAUAUGAUGACAUUCAACACCAUUUACUGAACAAUCAUGAUAAGAUUUGUUUAACAUGCAUCACCAACUGAGGCUAUAUUC